ACGGCCUCAUCACGUUAAAACACCGGUUUUUAUACGAUCACAAAAGUUAAGCAACGUCUAGCUUGGUCAGUAUCUAGAUGGGUGACCGCUUGGGAAUACUAGGUACUGUAAG